rnacentral:tRNA from 11 species
GCCUCCCUAGCUCAGUGGUAGAGCACCGCUCUUGUAAAGCGAAGGUCGUCGGUUCAAUCCCGACGGGGGGCUCCA